rnacentral:rRNA from 1 species
GAUGAGCGCUGGCGGCGUGCCUAAUACAUGCAAGUCGAGCGAAUGGAUUAAGAGCUUGCUCUUAUGAAGUUAGCGGCGGACGGGUGAGUAACACGUGGGUAACCUGCCCAUAAGACUGGGAUAACUCCGGGAAACCGGGGCUAAUACCGGAUAACAUUUUGAACCGCAUGGUUCGAAAUUGAAAGGCGGCUUCGGCUGUCACUUAUGGGUGGACCCGCGUCGCAUUAGCUAGUUGGUGAGGUAACGGCUCACCAAGGCAACGAUGCGUAGCCGACCUGAGAGGGUGAUCGGCCGCACUGGGACUGAGACACGGCCCAGACUCCUACGGGAGGCAGCAGUAGGGAAUCUUCCGCAAUGGACGAAAGUCUGACGGAGCAACGCCGCGUGAGUGAUGAAGGCUUUCGGGUCGUAAAACUCUGUUGUUAGGGAAGAACAAGUGCUAGUUGAAUAAGCUGGCACCUUGACGGUACCUAACCAGAAAGCCACGGCUAACUACGUGCCAGCAGCCGCCGUAA